CAGUCUGUCUUGUAAUAGCAGCCAUAGGUUGAAGAUUGCUUUAGGUCGAGCAGCAUUCUGCAUUGUUAAGUUCUUCCACAUGACUCUCGGUGCUUCUCCAAUCUGUUGUAAGUAGAGCCUUCUUAUAGUGCAAUCAGAUUUAUCCAACAUUUGAUGUUGCUGCAAUAGCUCAAUGCCUUCAAUGAUCUUCCGGACCAUCCAACAUGCCUUCUAUCUUUCCUUCCCUAUUUUGCCUUCUCACUAGUAACAAAUGCAAUCCUCUUGUUACCACGGUAUCAGAGCCGCCUGAGAUUCAACGUUCAGUUGCCAUGGCUUCUAAUCCAAAGAUUUAGGUUUUGCAAACAGAGAUGAGAGAGAUGCGUGUGCAACUUUCGUCAUCUGAGGAACAUGCAAGCCAAAGGUUCGAAUAUGUCGUAACCAGCCAGAAUUAGUUUCAAAAUCAACUCGAUGAUGUCAAGGAUGCAAAUCGGAAUCUCGAUUUAAUCAUCUCGAUCAUGGGUUUGUCGCAAUGAGCUGAUUCUAUGCCGGCAACGCUGUCUCUGGCGACUAAAAGCACAGACCAACAUCAUACACAUGUGACUUCAGACUCUACUCAGCCCAUCACAAUGGUUACUGCUCACUCAGUUCAAGCCAUAACAGAAAUUGGAGGAGCUUCAGGUACUAAGACCAUUUUCCCUUAGAUCAUCCUCUUUUCACCCCCUUCGACUUACCCUGUUGGCGUGGUUUCACCUUCCCUCCAGCCCCAGUUUUUAAUAACCCACCCACUUUUCAAAAUUCUGUUUAUCAAUCUAGCCCCCAUUGUUUCCAGCCCCUGUUAAUACUGCUGAGCCUAAAAUAAACCAGAAACCCUUGAAACCAAAAUUCAAUUUCCCUAAUUUUGAUGGAACUAAUCUUACAGGAUGGCCAUGAAGGUGUGAGAAACUUUUUAAGUUGUACGACAUUUCAUAGCUAGAGAAACUAAGUUACUCUUCAAUGCAUGUGAAGGAAAAGGUGGAUAUGUGGGUUGAUGAUAGUUAUUUGGUAAACCAUAGUGGAAGGAUGACUUGACAAAGGUUUUGUACUGAGGUUUGUAGGAGAUUCGGUAACAUUAGACCUCAAGAUAUUGUGGAUUAAUUUAACAAAAUUUUGCAGAUUGGGAGUGUGGACCAAUAUCAGGAAAGGUUCAAAGAUCUAACUAGCUAUAUGACUAUUAGAAACCCCCUUUUGAAUGAAACUCACUUCAUUUCUAGUUUCAUUAGUGGUUUCAAACUUGAGCUUAAACCACUAGUUAUGCUGGAUAAUCCUAUGACUAUUAUGGAUGCCUAUGAGAUUGCAAAGCUAUAUGUGGAGCCAUUCUCAGCUCUCACUGCACUUAUCCCGAUCAGAAAUACCCAAAACCUUCCCUACCCUAGAUCAUUAGCCAUUACUUACCCAAAAGCACCACCAAAUUCAAGACCACCACAACUUCCAGCACCCAAUCAACCUCUAAGAAUUACUUAUCCCAAUCAGAAAGCUGUCAAUAGAGCUACCCUCAAACCAAACACUUUUUUAGAACUUAGAGCUCAGGGUAUUUGUUAUAUGUGCCGUGAGAAAUAUGAUCCUGGGCACCAAUGGAAUGCUAAAACUCUACAUGCCAUGGAAGGGGUCAUAGCUGAAGGGGAACCAGAGAUAGAGGAAUUUGUGGAUGUUCCUGAGACUUUGGAGGAAAAAGUGGAGGAGCAAGCUGAGGUUUCUCUCAAUGUGGUGAUGGGGUUAAUUUCUACUGAAGGAACCAUCUCAACUAUCAAAUUAUUGGGAUAUGCAAAAAAAUCCCAUUGACCAUAUUGAUAGACAAUGUUUCUACACACUCCUUUAUGAUCCACAUAUAGUGAAGCUGCUAAAAUUACAUGUUCAACCUAUGGCCAUUCCAUUAAGAGUGAUAGUGGCUGAUGGACAAGUCAUGAGAUGUGAUCAGGAAAGCUCUCUAUUCAAUUGGAAAAUAGAGAUUGAAAAUUUUGCUUUCAAAAUUAAGUUACUCAAGGUUGGGGGAUGUGACAUGGUUUUAAGGAUGGACUAGAUUGAUGUUGUAGCACAUGUGAUCCUACAUACUAGACCUCACAGCCUAAGCUUUAUGAAGGAGGGCAAUACGGUGACUCUAAUUGGAGUUAAUGCUAAACAGGAGGUGAUCCCAAUGGAUACUGAACGUUUAAGAAGGAUGCUGCAUUGUGGUACCUGUGAGGUGAUUGCUGAAUUGGCUAUAACAAAUGUUGGUCCUAGAGAAAAGAGAUAAAAAAAUGUGAACCAUGAAUUGAAAAGUUUACUGGUAGCUUACAAGGAUGUGUUCCAGGAGCCAACCGAGCUACCAUCUGAAAGAGAUUGUGACCAUGUUAUCAACCUAAUUCCUACUGUUCAACCUUUCAACCUAAGCCCAUACAUGUAUUUCCAUGAUCAAAAUAAUGCUAUUGAAUCUAUCAUCAAUGACAUGUUGGAAGCUGAGACCUCAGUUCCCUGCCAGUCUUCUUUUGCUUCACCUGCUUUGCUAGCCAAAAAGAAAGACUCUACUUGGGGACUGUGGGUUGACUAUAGGAGGUUGAAUAGUUUAACUGUAAAUAAUAAAUAUCCUAUCCCCCUGAUUGAUGAUUUAUUGGAUGAGCUACAUGGAGCUAAUGUGUUUUCAAAGAUAGACCUUAGAGCUGAUUACCAUCAAGUGAGAAUAAAGGCUGGAGAAGAGUACAAAACAUCAUUUAGAACUCAUCAUCGGUUGUGGCAAUUCAGGGUCAUGCCCUUUGAAUUCAUUAAUGCCCAACCACCUUCCAAUCAUUGAUGAUUUCUGCAUUCAAGGAGAAAAUGAGUAAGUACAUACUAGUACCUCGAAAGGAAAGAGGGACGAGCGGAACGACUUCGGUAUUAAUAAGCAUUCCCCCGGCGGGCUCAGUUUGGGCUUUCCAGUCUCGUUAUUUGAUGAUAUACUAGUGUAUAGUAAGAGUAUGAAGGAACAUUUAGAGCAUCAAGAAAAGGUACUUCAAUUACUAAGAAAGAACCAGCUAUUUGCAAAAAAAAAAAAAAAAGCAAGUGUGAAUUUAGCCAAUCACAGGUGGAAUACUUAGGACAUGUGAUCUCAUGAAAAGGGGUAAGCACUAACCCUAAAAAGGUAUCAGCUAUGCUGGAAUAGCCACAACCAAGUUCUGUAAAAGAGUUAAGAGGUUUCCUAGGGCUGACUGGUUACUAUAGAAAAUUUAUCAAGUAUUAUGCUCAGCUAAGUAAGCCCCUAACCAACCUACUAAGGAAAGGGAGUUUCAACUGGAAUGAAGAAGCUACUGUAUCCUUUCAAAAACCUCAAACAAGAAAUGACUGUUGCUCAAGUUCUAGCUUUACCUGACUUCAGUAAACAUUUUAUCUUGGAGCUGGAUGCUUGAAACAGUGGAAUGGGAGCAGUAUUAAUGCAGGAUUGGAGGCCUCUGGCAUUCCUGAGCUAGUCUUUAAGCAAGAUACAUCAAUGAUUAUCUACUGAUGAGAAAGAGUUGAUAGCUCUACUUGUAGCAGUAGAUAGAUGGAGACACUUGCACACACACCACUUUAUAAUCAAAACAGAUCACUUCAGUUUUAAAUUCUUGCAACAACAAAAGAUUAAAACAUCCCAGCAGCAUAAAGUCUUGACCAAACUAAUGGGUUUAAGAUUUGAAAUUCAGUAUAAAAAAGGAGCGGAGAAUAUUGUGGAUGAUGCACUAUCAAGGAUAAAUGAACAUUAAUCUAAAGUUGAUGUGUCACACUGUCUAGUGGUAACUCAGUUACAACCUAAAUGGUUUGACGAAGUGAUGGCAAGUUAUGAAGCAGACCAAGAGGUGAUGCAGGUUAUCACUUUACUCAGUAGCAACCCUUCAGCAUUGGCGGAUGGCACCUUACAACAAGGUAUCCUAAUGCAUAAAAGAAAAGUUUGGGUUGGUAAACAUGGAACUCUAAGGCAGAAAUUGAUUUCAACCAUUCACAACUAUGGGUUAGGGGGUCUUUCAGGAGUAACAACAACCUAUCAAAGGCUAAAGGUAGUUUUAUUGGCCUAAUAUGAUAGAAGAUGUGAAAAAGAUAAUUCAAGAGUAUGAAGUAUGCCAAAGGUGCAAAGAUGAGCAAGUGGCUUACCCAGGACUGUUACAACCUCUGCCAGUACCUUAGAGGGCUUGGGAGAACAUAUAAAUGGAUUUUAUUGAGAUUUUUCCCAAGUCAGAAGGGCAAGACACUAUCUUGGUAGUGAUAGAUAGAUAUAGUAAAUAUGCUCACUUCGUUGCAAUGGCUCAUCCUUUCACUGCCUCUCAAAUUGCUAGGGUGUUUAUGGAUACUAUUUAUAAUUUGCAUGGUUUACCUAAGAGCAUAGUAUCUGAUAGGGAUAAAGUCUUCCUUAGUAAUUUUUUAGAGGGAACUUUUUAAGAACUUGCAGGUACAGUUAUGCUUUAGCUAAACCUAUCAUCUACAAACAGAUACAUAAACUGAGAGGGUGAAUAGAUGUUUGAAGAAUUACCUGAGGUACAUGACACCGCAUAGACCUAAAGAGUGGUAUAAAUGGCUCUUACUAGCUGAGUUUUGGUAUAAUAGUAGUUACCAUUCUACCUUAAAAAUAACUCCUUUCAAGGUUUUGUAUGGGUAUGAACCACCACAACUAUCUUUCGAGUUGAUUUCACAAACUAAAGUGGCUGCCAUAGAUCAAGUCAUGAAAGCAAGACAAAUUAUGGUUUAAGUGCUAAAAGAGAAUUUGGAAAAGGCUCAAAACAGGAUGGCGGUGAAUGCUGACAAGAAGAGGACAAAAAGAGAGUUCAAUGUUGGUGACUGGUAUUUCUGAAAUUGCAACCCUAUAGACAUACCUCUAUAGCUGUAAGAAAGAGUUUGAAGUUGGCUUUCAAGUCUUAUGGUCCUUAUCAGAUAGUGCAAACUAUUGGAAAUGCCGCAUAUAAGCUACUUACUUCCGACUUCCAAGAUACAUCGUGUCUUCUAAAUCUCUCAUCUGAAGAGAAGGAUUGGACAACAAGUUAUUCCAUCCAUUGAUCCUCCAAUUUGUUCUUCUAAUGGACAACCUCUGAUAUAGCCAAUUGCAGUGUUUGAUAGGAGUAUGGUGAAUAAGGGAAACUAAGCAUCUACUCAGAUUUUGGUGUAGUGGGCUAACUUGCUACUAGAAGAAGCUACAUGGGAGGAUGGUGAAUAAGGGAAACAAUGUAUCUCAGUUUCCAGAUCUAAC
rnacentral:lncRNA from 1 species